rnacentral:lncRNA from 1 species
UGCACUUUCAAGCAGUUUCUUGACUGCAAACCGCUGAACUUCAACGACACUGGAGGUACAGUGGCAUUCGUACUCUGGACAGAAAAGACCGAGACGCAUGCUGAGUCGUCUGGUGACAAGAAAAGGAACGCACGCGAGGAUCCUAACGUGGUCACCGUUUGCAUGCUAGAACUUGGUGAACGAAGCUUUAGCAUCGAUCUCUUACCUAUUCAAUUGGGUAGCUUCGAU